AGUGAACGCUGGCGGUAGGCCUAACACAUGCAAGUCGAACGGCAGCUCAGUAAGAGCUUGCUCUUACGGGUGGCGAGUGGCGGACGGGUGAGGAAUACAUCGGAAUCUACUUUUUCGUGGGGGAUAACGUAGGGAAACUUACGCUAAUACCGCAUACGACCUACGGGUGAAAGCAGGGGAUCUUCGGACCUUGCGCGAUUGAUUGAGCCGAUGUCGGAUUAGCUAGUUGGCGGGGUAAAGGCCCACCAAGGCGACGAUCCGUAGCUGGUCUGAGAGGAUGAUCAGCCACACUGGAACUGAGACACGGUCCAGACUCCUACGGGAGGCAGCAGUGGGGAAUAUUGGACAAUGGGCGCAAGCCUGAUCCAGCCAUACCGCGUGGGUGAAGAAGGCCUUCGGGUUGUAAAGCCCUUUUGUUGGGAAAGAAAAGCAGCAGGUUAAUACCCCGCUGUUCUGACGGUACCCAAAGAAUAAGCACCGGCUAACUUCGUG
rnacentral:rRNA from 1 species